UGGCUCAGUGGUAGAGUGCUUGCCUAGCAUGCACGAGUUCCUGGGUUCAAUCCCCAG
rnacentral:tRNA from 1 species